UCCUGGUUAGCUCAGUUGGUGGAAUGCUUAAUCGGAAAUGGAGAGGUCCCUGGUUCGAUACCAGAACCAGGCG
rnacentral:tRNA from 1 species